AUUGAACGCUGGCGGCAGGCCUAACACAUGCAAGUCGAGCGGUAACAGGAAUUAGCUUGCUAAUUCGCUGACGAGCGGCGGACGGGUGAGUAAUGCCUGGGAAUAUGCCUUAGUGUGGGGGAUAACUAUUGGAAACGAUAGCUAAUACCGCAUAAUGUCUUCGGACCAAAGAGGGGGAUCUUCGGACCUCUCGCGCUAAGAUUAGCCCAGGUGAGAUUAGCUUGUUGGUGAGGUAAGAGCUCACCAAGGCGACGAUCUCUAGCUGGUCUGAGAGGAUGAUCAGCCACACUGGAACUGAGACACGGUCCAG
rnacentral:rRNA from 1 species